rnacentral:lncRNA from 1 species
GGAUAUAAAUACUGACAUAAAUAAGGAUAUAACUAAGGAUAUAAAUACUAACAUAAAUAAGGAUAUAACUAAGGAUAUAGCUAAGGAUAUAAAUAAUGAUAUAAAUAAUGAUAACAUAAAUAAUGAUAAUAUAAAUAAUGAUAAUAAUGGUAAUAAUCUAAAUAAUAACAACAAAGUAAACCCAGAAAAAAUUAAAGAUCCUUACGAAACGAAUUAUAAUGAAGCUACAAUAGCUGAAGAAAACAAAAAAAACAAUUUAAUUAAAAAACAAAUUGGUGUUAGUAGCAGUUGUAGUAGUAUAAGUUUGUGCGAAGAUAAUUUGGAUUUGCUUAAUUACAAAUCAACCAACAUAAUGGGUAGUUUUACGAAAAAUAUAAAAAAAUGGUUAACAAUUUUUCCAACCAUGAAUUCAGAAAAUUUAUUUUUUUAUUUAUAUUAUACAUCAGAGUUAGGAAAAGAAAAUCCAUACAAAUGCUUCAAGUGUGGUUCAUUGGAAUGUGAAAGAAACGAUCUUUCUAAAAAUGAAUGUAAAAAUAUAUAUUGUGUAUUAUGUUGUAAGUUUACGCAAGGGUACAUGUGUCAUAGCACUAUUAAACAGUAUUUAGUCUUAAAAUUUAAUGAAGAAAAAAUCAAUUUAGAUACAUUAAACAUUUUGAAAUACCCUCAUGGUCUCAUCCCUUGUUUAACGUGUAUGUCAAAUGCUCAUUUUAAUUGUGGGUAUCCUCCUUAUAAGCAUGCACAACAAUCUUAUAAAUUCAGAAAAAACUGGAAUGACAUUUAUAAUAAUGGAAUAUAUAAUAUUUAUGAAAAAGAUCCUUUGUAUGCUUGGCCUAUAGAACAGAUAAAUCGAAUAAUUCAUAAUGUCAAAAAAGGAAACAAUGAUGGUGCUAGCGCCAAUCCGCCUAACGCAAUAAAUAAUUUGGGACAAGUAGUUCAAGAAAAAAAAUCCAUUACAAAUCGUGUCAAUGGUAACAAGGAAAAGGAAAAGGAAAAGGAAAGGGAAAAGGACAAGGAACAGGGAAAAGAAAAGGAAAAGGAAAGGGAAAGGGAAAGGGUAAAGGAAAGGGAAAGGGCAAAGGAAAGGGAAAAGGAAAGAGAAAGGGAAAGGGAAAGGGAAAGGGAAAGGGAAAGGGAAAAGGAAAGGGAAAGAGAAAAGGAAAGGGAAAAGGAAAGGGAAAAGCACAAAAAUGAGGACACUUACAAUAGCUUUAAAGAUAAAAGAAAGAUCUUCUAUGAAGAUGGUAACUAUAAUAAAACGAAAGUAUGUGAAAUGAAUUAUAAAGAAAGCAACAGUACAUAUUAUAAUAACCGAAAAAGUGAUUAUAAAUAUAAUAUUAGCAAUAAUCCUAGUAAUAGUAAAGAUAACAAAUAUGCACCUUCCGUAAGAGAUGAUUACUUAUUAAAUAAAAUGGAUUACCAAAAAAACGACACAAAAAAUGUAUAUGAUUAUACUAACAUUACUUCUAACAGUAGCUGUAAUAACUAUUGGUAUAAACGUAAACAAAAUACAAAUAAUUACAAUUCAGGAGAUAAUGAAAAUGACCAUAAACGACACAAAGGUAUAUAUCCAUAUAGUAGUCACGGUAAAUAUAAAGAUAAUAAAAAUUAUAAAAACAUUUUAUAUAAAUCAAACCACUAUAAUAAUAAUAAUAAUAAUAAUAAUAAUAAUAAUAAUAAUGUAGAAGCGAGUGAUUACAAUUAUCAUAGGCAACAUAAAAACAGAAUUUAUGAUAAUAAACAAAAUUCAUAUUAUAAAGCAAGUGUUAGUAAAGAUAGAUAUGAUUAUAAUCAAGAUUUCAAAUAUAAUAGUAGUAGCUAUCACAGAAGAAGAAGUAACGAAGAUCUGGAUUCUUUAAAACGUAACGAGUAUAGUUCGAAUAAAGUAAACAGAAAUUCCCUAUCAAAUCAUAGUAAUAUGUAUAAAAAUAACAACAGUAGUAGUAGGGGCAGAGAUAGGGAUGAUAAUAAUAAACGAGUUCAACUGAGAAGCAAUAAUGAUAACAUCAGAGAUAAUAAUUACAAAAAAGAUAAACCUAUUUUAAAGCGGAAUCAACAUUCUAUAAUGAUGACACAUAAUGGUGAGCACCAUGAUUGGUACAAUUCUAUAAAUAACAUCACACAUAAUAAAUCCCGUGAUCAUAUACAAACUAAUGGGAAUAUAACUCAAAGAAAUAAUUCAGCUUUAGAGCUUAAUGUAAAAAAUAGUUUAUAUGUUUAUAAUAAAAACGAUAAUAAAAAUUAUAAUGUUUAUAAUUCUAAUGUUAAGACAAGUGAAACUUCAAAAUCAGAGGCUUCAAUGGCUGAACACAAAGUACGAAGCAAAUACGGCAGUAAAAAACCAUAUAAUAAUUAUAGUAAUAAUAGAUAUUAUUAAAAUUACAUUUUUAAAAAUUUGUAUACGUUUAUGUAAAUAUGUAUCUAUUUAUUUGUAUGUGUCUAUUUAUGUAUAUGUUUGUUCGUAUAUAUCUAUUUGUCUGUAUUAUAUAUCA